rnacentral:lncRNA from 7 species
AGUGGCUGGGCUGUGUCCUUCAUGAGUGGCUGUUUGCUGUCCUCUGCCUUCAGGAUGGCGUCUCCUCAGGGUUUUUGGUGCCUCUGUGAUCCACAGUGUUCUCUGCUGAUAAGCUAGUUCUCUCACGCCUCACAGAUCCUAUAGAAAGUGCCUAGAAAAGUCUCUCAUAGUAGUUUUUGGUCUUUUCCCCCGUGUGCUUGAGUCGGAGAGGUUCCAGGGCUGUCUGGAAGGCUUUCUGCUCUCCCCACAACCCUGGUAGAGAAGAAGGAGCAGUACAGUGCUCAGAGGCUUUAGUUCAAAUCGUCAAGACUUUUGAAGGCUGAAUAACAGAAGAUUGUUUUUAUAAAAUAAGAGACAGGUCCUUAUGAAGAAGGGUCUCAAGUAGAGGUUUUGAAGGAAACAGGAGGAUUGUGGCUGCUUUCACUCAUCUCCUCUGUCAGAGCAUUGAGGAUCCUGAUGGAUAAACAGCCAGUCGAUGACUUGGAGGGCUUUGAAUACAGCACUGUGACCUCUUUCUUGAUUCUUCAAUUGAAAAAAAAGCCAGUGGGGAGGAAGAGGAGCUGAGACUGAAACCAUAUUCCAGACAUUGCCUUCCUUACUUACCUCCAGAAGUUGCACUGGUUGGGAUGGGGCUCAGGUGUCUUCUGCACCCUCCAAAUUUCCUCUAGGCACUUCUUCCAAUCCUUUCCUUUGCUCAUUUAUACCAACGUCCCGGGCACUGUUUCUUGUUGAUGGCAUAUUAUAACAUUUACAAGAGGGGACAAAACAGAAAUGAAAGGACACAACACUUUUUUUUGUUUCUUCUGUUCAUGGCAUAAGGAGAAUGAACAACCGGAUCCUGCCUGGCCGGGCACGCGGGGAUGGGAAGCAGUCGCCUGACGUUCUCUGCGUUAAAGACGUCCUUGUCACAGCGCUGCAACCUGUGCUGCUUUGUUGUAGGAAACAACCUCUGGAAGGAAAUAGGCGUAGCUCCUGAUUACAGCCGGUUGGGAAUUUUACAAGAAAACAUCUUUCCACCGGAAAGAACGCGUGUUUCUCAAAACAGAGAUGUUUGGGGAAGUUGAGAGGCUCUGCCCUUGCUGGGCUCCAGGCUGAGAUUGAGCGGGUGGACGCCACCACUGAGGGGUAGCAGGUGCUGCGUGCCCUGGGGGCAGAGCUGGUAGAGGGGCUGCUCCCCUCACUUUCAGAAUGGCCCCACAUCCCUCGAGUGGUCUUUUUUUUUCCCCAGAUUUUAUUGUGUUAUUUUUUCUUUAAGAAGCAUAGUCUUCAAAGUAUGCAAUUUUCUGUGGGGGUUUUCUUCACCAAAUAACCCACAUUUCUCAGAGUACGUAUUCUGCGUAUCUAAAAUAAUUACUGUUGUGAAAACUUUCUCAAAUACCAAAUGAAAUUACUUUACAGACAGAGGGUUCGUACAUACUUCCAUUUAAUUAAAUAACUCAGAAUAUGAUUUAUUUCCUGAAAUUGGAAGUGCUGUGCACUCUGAGUUCAUUAUUUACACACGCGUUCACAGCUCACUGAUCAUUCUAUUACCAGCGAGUUUCUAAUAAAAUAUAACUGUUUUUAGUAGCAGAACACUGACCAUGUUUCAGUGGCACAAAUAUUCCAGUUAUUUCACAUGCCACAGCCACAAAUGAUUCUCUCAGCAUUAAAUAGUGCAGUAAAAGCUGUACCUGUUUCAACAUUUUUGGAAAGCUUCAUUGAAGUAGCUGCUAUCUUGCAGAGAAAUGCAGCACAGAGUGCAUUGUUCAGAACUUUUUUGCACUAUGUAUCAAACACCCAUUUUCCCCCUCAUAUAUUUUGGGCAUAUGCUAAACUCAUAAUGUCUAACUUCUUUUUCUGAUACCAUGUCAGUGUAUUGGUUACCCUAUAGGAUACCAUGUUUUAAGUGUCUGUAGGUCUCUGUCUUUUGUGUUUGCAAUCAUUUCCUCAUAAAAUCACUCAUUUCUUUUGUAAACUUUCUCACUCCAUAUAUGUAUAUUUAAAUAUGGGCUACACAGUGAUACCUUCUUAAUUCUGCAGACUGCUGGGUGUUAUAGAAAGAGCUAUUCACACCCAACGUUGUUUAUUGUAGGUGUUUCUAGGGAAUCACUUAGUUUGUAAUCCGGCAGAGAUUUCAUUGUGCUGUACAAACACGUUUCUCACAACUUUAUUAUCCUUGGCUCUUUGCACUGAGCAUUAUUUCUUUCUGAAGUCACUUAAAAGGUGCUGUUAUUAGGAGGAUAUUUAGAGGAAAAUAAAACAUCAGCUAAAUCUGCCCAGUGAACAUCCUCUUAUUUGUGAUAUACAGCCAGACUGAAAGGACUUUCCCUGUGCCAGACCAGGCACUGUUUUUUCAGCAGCUAUCAAUGUUUACACAUCAAUAGAGAAGUCUUGUGCAACAAAACUCUUCUCUAUUGCUAAAUAAAAAACAAUAGAAAG